rnacentral:rRNA from 1 species
UACGGAGGGUGCGAGCGUUGUCCGGAAUCACUGGCGUAAAGGGCGCGUAGGCGGCCUGAUAAGUAGGGGUGAAAUCCUGCGCUUAACCGCAGGGCUGCCUUCUAAACUGCAGGCUGGAGCACAGUAGAGGCAGGUGGAAUUCCCGGUGUAGCGGUGGAAUGCGUAGAGAUCGGGAAGAACAUCAGUGGCGAAGGCGGCCUGCUGGGCUGUUGCUGACGCUGAGGCGCGAACAGCGGUGGGGAGCAAACGAGGAAGAUUCAGUUACCCGUGUACGUCCAGAAUCCAAGUCCAUCUGUCUCCC